UACGUAGGGUGCGAGCGUUAAUCGGAAUUACUGGGCGUAAAGCGUGCGCAGGCGGCGCGUUAAGACAGGUGUGAAAGCCCCGAGCUUAACUUGGGAAUUGCGCUUGUGACUGGCGAGCUGGAGUGUGGCAGAGGGAGGUGGAAUUCCACGUGUAGCAGUGAAAUGCGUAGAGAUGUGGAGGAACACCGAUGGCGAAGGGCAGCCUCCUGGGCCAGCACUGACGCUCAUGCACGAAAGCGUGGGGAGCAAACAGG
rnacentral:rRNA from 1 species